rnacentral:rRNA from 1 species
CCUACGGGUGGCAGCAGUGGGGAAUAUUGGGCAAUGGGCGCAAGCCUGACCCAGCAACGCCGCGUGAAGGAAGAAGGCUUUCGGGUUGUAAACUUCUUUUCUCAGGGACGAAGCAAGUGACGGUACCUGCGGAAUAAGCCACGGCUAACUACGUGCAAGCAGCCGCGGUAAUCCGUAGGUGGCAAGCGUUAUCCGGAUUUACUGGGUGUAAAGGGCGUGUUGGCGGGACGGCAAGUCAGAUGUGAAAACCACGGGCUCAACCUGUGGCCUGCAGUUGAAACUGUAGGUCUUGAGUACUGGUGAGGCAGACGGAAUGCCUGGUGUAGCGGUGAAAUGCGUAGAGAUUAGGAGGAAAACCAGUGGCGAAGGCGGUCUGCUGGGCAGCAACUGACGCUGAGGCGCGAAAGCGUGGGGAGCAAACAGGAUGAGAGACCCCUGUAGUC